rfam:Spirochaetes bacterium GWF1_49_6 gwf1_scaffold_1298, whole genome shotgun sequence.
GCCCGGGUGGCGGAAUUGGUAGACGCGCAAGAUUCAGGAUCUUGUGAGCAAACGCUCAUGUGGGUUCAAGUCCCUUCCCGNNNN